AAGGGGUCCAAGACUGGCUUGUUUUAUACAUGAUACGAACAAACAUUUCUUAAUCUAUUGCUUCAGAUUUUGAAUUACGUUGAAGAUUGAAAAAACGAUGCAAAGUUCGGAGACAUCCAAUGACCAAGAUGAAGCAGAACCUGGUGAUAGAUCUGAAGAGCUUAAAUCAUAUGCAGUUCUCAAAAAUCGUAUCCAUGAUUUACUAAUGGCGUUGUCGGAUCCAAAUCAAUGAAAACAUCUGUGACAUUACCAAAUAAUUGGAACCCAGGAUGUGGACGCUAAGACAUCUCAAUAUAUCAUCAGUUCCAUUACGGAGACCAAAACAAGAACUUACACUUGCUUUCAAAGCUGGAUCCUGUGGAUGAGCCUGAAAUCUCAAGAGAUGGAGACAGAGAACGCCCUACUGGCAAAGUAUUGCAGGCAUUUCCAGAAGAAACCAAGUUUUUGUUGAAUAUAGGUCCCGCAUCGGGAAAUUGAGAAAAUACUAGAAUAUAGUAUAUUAGUGUAUGGUUCCACUCCUAAUAACACCGAAAAAUUUUGUGAUGAAA